rnacentral:rRNA from 1 species
GAUGAACGCUGGCAGCGUGCCUAAUACAUGCAAGUCGAGCGAACAGACGAGGAGCUUGCUCCUCUGACGUUAGCGGCGGACGGGUGAGUAACACGUGGAUAACCUACCUAUAAGACUGGGAUAACUUCGGGAAACCGGAGCUAAUACCGGAUAACAUGUUGAACCGCAUGGUUCAACAGUGAAAGACGGUCUUGCUGUCACUUAUAGAUGGAUCCGCGCCGCAUUAGCUAGUUGGUAAGGUAACGGCUUACCAAGGCAACGAUGCGUAGCCGACCUGAGAGGGUGAUCGGCCACACUGGAACUGAGACACGGUCCAGACUCCUACGGGAGGCAGCAGUAGGGAAUCUUCCGCAAUGGGCGAAAGCCUGACGGAGCAACGCCGCGUGAGUGAAGAAGGUCUUCGGAUCGUAAAACUCUGUUAUUAGGGAAGAACAAAUGUGUAAGUAACUAUGCACGUCUUGACGGUACCUAAUCAGAAAGCCACGGCUAACUACGUG